rnacentral:rRNA from 1 species
AUCCGGGUUGCGGACAGUGUCUGGUGGGUAGUUUGACUGGGGCGGUCUCCUCCUAAAGAGUAACGGAGGAGCACGAAGGUUAGCUAAUCCUGGUCGGACAUCAGGAGGUUAGUGCAAAGGCAUAAGCUAGCUUGACUGCGAGAGUGACGGCUCGAGCAGGUGCGAAAGCAGGUCUUAGUGAUCCGGUGGUUCUGAAUGGAAGGGCCAUCGCUCAACGGAUAAAAGGUACUCCGGGGAUAACAGGCUGAUACCGCCCAAGAGUUCAUAUCGACGGCGGUGUUUGGCACCUCGAUGUCGGCUCAUCACAUCCUGGGGCUGAAGUAGGUCCCAAGGGUAUGGCUGUUCGCCAUUUAAAGUGGUACGCGAGCUGGGUUUAGAACGUCGUGAGACAGUUCGGUCCCUAUCUGCCGUGGGCGCUGGAGAAUUGAGGGGGGCUGCUCCUAGUACGAGAGGACCGGAGUGGACGCAUCACUGGUGUUCGGGUUGUCAUGCCAAUGGCAUUGCCCGGUAGCUAAAUGCGGAAGAGAUAAGUGCUGAAAGCAUCUAAGCACGAAACUUGCCCCGAGAUGAGUUCUCCCUGACUCCU